rnacentral:rRNA from 1 species
GGAAUCUUCCGCAAUGGACGAAAGUCUGACGGAGCAACGCCGCGUGAGCGAUGAAGGCCUUCGGGUCGUAAAGCUCUGUUGUUAGGGAAGAACAAGUACCAGUUAACUGCUGGUACCUUGACGGUACCUAACGAGAAAGCCACGGCUAACUACGUGCCAGCAGCCGCGGUAAUACGUAGGUGGCAAGCGUUGUCCGGAUUUAUUGGGCGUAAAGCGCGCGCAGGCGGUUCUUUAAGUCUGAUGUGAAAGCCCCCGGCUCAACCGGGGAUGGUCAUUGGAAACUGGGGAACUUGAGUGCAGAAGAGAAGAGCGGAAUUCCACGUGUAGCGGUGAAAUGCGUAGAGAUGUGGAGGAACACCAGUGGCGAAGGCGGCUCUUUGGUCUGUAACUGACGCUGAGGCGCGAAAGCGUGGGGAGCAAA